CCAGCCACCUUUUGUGCUGUGGAGGCUUCCCCGCCUCCCUCACCGGGUCUCACCACAUAAAUAGAGGGCCGGGUGCUGCUGGCCAGCACUGUGGCUCCUGCUCAGGGUCUGCAACACCUCGCACCCCAGCACCCAUCCCGGCUGUGCUGCAGCAUGACUCCUGCUGGUAUACUCUGCCUGUGGCUGGGCUGCCUCCUGCUCUGUGGCGCUGCCUCAACACCUAUCUGUGACCCCAGCACCUGCUCACCCUGCUCUGAGCCCACCCCUGUGGGCUGCUGCCCACCCUGCACCCCUCCCUGCGCCUGCCCCCCCUACCUGGAGGAUGACUGCGAGAUGCAAGGCUUCACUGACAACCGUGUCCCCGCCGGCCUCUCCUUCUACAUCGACUUUGCCCGCAAGCUGUGCACCUGCCAGCCCAGCGGGGACAUCACCUGCGCCCCGCACUGCCCCUCAGUGCCCCCCACCUGCCAGGCUGUGGGCAGCCUGGUGGCCGAUGGCUGUCCCCUCUGUGUUUGCUAUGACAAGGAGGAGGUGGCAGUGCCUGCUGGCACCGUGGUCUCCCGGGGUGCCCAGCUCUGCAGCUGCCCUCCUGAGGGGGGACGGCUGCAGUGCGGUGAUGGGGUAGAGGUGUGAGAUGCCCACGCUCUGCCAGCCGAGGGCAGAGGGAUGGGAAAGCCUCCUGGGGAGCAGGCAGCUUUCUGCUCCUCAGGGCAUCCCUGCUGGAAGGCGUUCAAUGCGUCAAACAGCCCUAGAGGGGCUGGCAUUGAGUGUGUCCCUGCCAUCGGCUGUGGGGAGAUGCCAUCCUGUAUAAACCAGGGUGCAGUGCCUGUACUUGGCAACGUUUCCUUGCGGCUUGGUCUGCUCCACGGUGGCUGGCAGAUUGGCUGGGGUGACUGCAGCCAGCACGCAACUGAAACAAAUUGCAGCUAUUUAUUUAUUUGUGAGAUGAUUGUGCUUUUUUGCGUGUGUUUGUUUAUAUAGUGUGUCUUGAGUCAACAUGCUGGAUAAACUUCCUUGCAGGAUCCAGCUUCUCCCUUUCUGUAACUCCAUCAAAUUCAAAGUGGUGGGACCACAAUCAGGAGAUUUGUUGACAUUCCCUUCUCCCAGGUGUUCCUCCUCUUCCUCACACCAGAGUGAGGUUGUGGGGAUUAGGAGGGUUGGUGCGUGGCAGUGUCCUUAGGAGGUGGCAAACCUCCAGCCUCCAGAGCAAAGACAUGAAGAAUCACGCUGAGGACGUCAGCAGCCAUGGAGCAAUCCUUUGUGGCCACCUCUGUGAAGCAGCUCCCUGGCUCUGAGCCCAUCACCAGUCCUGUCUCUGUCCUGGUUCAGCACAAAUACCCCAAAUUGUGCCCUCCUCACUCACACUCUCUCCUUCCCACUGCUGGAAACAGCAGAAGAGUGUUCUCUGAAUGCUUCAGAGCAUCUGUUUAGAUAUGUUUAUGUACAUAUAUCUAUAUAUAUGCAGGAAAACUGUAAUCAAACGCAGCUUCAUCAGGCUGAGCUGUUAACAAAUGUCAGUUGUGUUUCUUUGAGGGUUGAAUAAAAACCGUUUCACUAACAAA